AACGCACAUUGCGCCCCUUGGUAUUCCGGGGGGCAUGCCUGUUCGAGCGUCAUUAUAACCCUCAAGCCUAGCUUGGUGUUGGAGCAUGCUGCCUAGCAGCUCUUAAAAUCAGUGGCAGUGCCCUUCGGCUCUAAGCGUAGUAACUUUUCUCGCUAUAGAACUCGGAUGGUACGCGCCAAAACCCCCAACUUUCUAUGGUUGACCUCGGAUCAGGUAGGGAUACCCGCUGAACUUAA
rnacentral:misc_RNA from 1 species